UUGAUUAUUACAAUUUUAUUCGCCAGGGAACUACGAGCGUCAGCUUAAAACCCAAAGGACUUGGCGGUGCCCUACACCUCCUAGAGGAGCCUGUUCUAUAAUCGAUGAUCCACGAUACACCUCACCGUUUCUUGCCAAAACCGCCUAUAUACCGCCGUCUCCAACUUACCCUAUGAAGGAUUUACAGUAAGUUCAAAGAUCACUCAUCAGAACGUCAGGUCAAGGUGUAGCGAAUGAAACGGGAAGAAAUGGGCUACAUUUUCUAUUUUAGAUCACACGGACAGUCAGUAUGAAACCUGAUUAUGAAGGAGGAUUUAGCAGUAAAAAGAAAUCAGCAAGUUCUUUUUAAGUCGGACCUAGGGCGCGUACACACC
rnacentral:rRNA from 1 species